rnacentral:lncRNA from 1 species
CAAAACUAUUUUCUUUUUUGUCAAUGUUUUCUUUCCCACUUUUCAAACAUAUUGAGCUAUUUCACAGGUUUUAUCAUCUUCAUUUUUAAAAAUUCCUACUCUGACAUUUUUGUCUCUCACCAUUUUACAGCUCUUAGAUGUACCAGUUAAAUAGAAGCAUAAGCUAUUGCUUGCAUUCUCUAGAGCAAAAACAGUUGAAUAAAGAAGUAAUCAAACCAGCAGCAAACUCAGGAGAGAAGAAAAUCUACAGAUAAUGACUUAAAAAGCAUAUGUGCCAAAUUCAAAUAGAAAAGAAAAGAAGAACUAAGACCUAAUG